CCAAUAGCGUAUAUUAAAGUUGUUGCAGUUAAAAAGCUCGUAGUUGAAUUUUAGGCCUGACCGGACGGUCCGUCUCUGGCGAGUACUGUUCUGCUGUCGGGUCUAUCCUUCUGGUGAGCCGGUAUGCCCUUUAUUGGGUGUGUCGGGGAACCAGGACCAUUACCUUGAAAAAAUUAGAGUGUUUAAAGCGGGCUUUUGCUUGAAUAGAUUAGCAUGGAAUAAUAGAAUAGGACGUUGGUUCUAUUUUGUUGGUCUAGGACCACCGUAAUGAUUAAUAGGGAUAGUUGGGGGCAUUAGUAUUCAAUUGUCAGAGGUGAGAUUCUUGGAUUUAUUGAAGACUAACUACUGCGAAAGCAUUUGCCAAGGAUGUUUUCAUUAAUCAAGAACGAAAGUUAGGGGAUCGAAGACGAUCAGAUACCGUCGUAGUCUUAACCAUAAACUAUGCCGACUAGGAAUCGGGCGACGUUAUUUUCAUGACUCGCUCGGCGCCUUAUG
rnacentral:rRNA from 1 species